AGAGUUUGAUCAUGGCUCAGGAUGAACGCUAGCUACAGGCUUAACACAUGCAAGUCGAGGGGAAACGACAUCGAAAGCUUGCUUUUGAUGGGCGUCGACCGGCGCACGGGUGAGUAACGCGUAUCCAACCUGCCCAUCACUUGGGGAUAACCUUGCGAAAGUAAGACUAAUACCCAAUGAUAUCUCUAGAAGGCAUCUGAAAGAGAUUAAAGAUUUAUCGGUGAUGGAUGGGGAUGCGUCUGAUUAGGCUUGUUGGCGGGGUAACGGCCCACCAAAGCAACGAUCAGUAGGGGUUCUGAGAGGAAGGUCCCCCACAUUGGAACUGAAGGACACGGGUCCAAACGUCCUACGGGAGGCA
rnacentral:rRNA from 1 species